GCUGGGCGGCCGAGGUGAGGAGGGGAAGAUGGCGGCGUGAGAGGAAGCGGAGGGGGGAGCCGGGCCGGCGGCGGCGGCCCCGGCCGGGGCAGAUUCAUGUGCAUUCCAUGUAUGUGCCAAUUAACAGUUGGAAGAGAAGAGCUGUUGGAGAAAAAUAAUAGCAUGCAAGGUUGUGA